GACUGUGAGGGUGAUCUGGCUGAGACAUUUGUCACCCUGCUGAUCACCAGGGUUGAUUUUGCUGAUCUGGCUGGCUAGGCAGAUGUCUCCUUUCUGCCUCACUGCUCCAUGUGUGUUCCUCCUGAAGCUGCACACUCGGUCAAAGAGGGUGGCCUUCCCCAACAGAGGUGGAUCUGUCUUUGGCUGAGGGUAUAGAGUAGCUGCACUCCCCUGAUAGAACCUCUAAACAAGCUCUCAAGACUCAUCUCUCCUUUUCCCACAUAAGAUCUCAAGUUGUCAUUCACAUUAGGUCCCAUGCCACUUCUUUGAAAUCUUCCUGAGAAUUUGACUAUAA
rfam:Erinaceus europaeus unplaced genomic scaffold scaffold00602, whole genome shotgun sequence